AUGUUAUUCCAGUACAAGUGGCCGGUGGUUUCAGUCCGACAGUUAAAAGUUGUAUUGGCUUGUAAAAAUUCAUGUGACUGGACCAGUAGGUGUUGGAAGUCAGUGCUAGGAGCUCCUGGGAUGUGCUCAUGCAUGCUUGGUUGGAACUUUUCUUUUGAAUCAAUUGAUGAACCGAUGGCAUCAGAUAUGCCGUGGUUCUUUCAUGUCCGUUCUCUCCAGCUUCUUGAUGUUUUCUUUCUCAGCCUAUUGUUGAUGGUGUUUGAUCUCCUUUCUGACAUCUUCCAAGAAUAA
rnacentral:rRNA from 1 species